rnacentral:rRNA from 2 species
UCUGGUGACCAUAGCGGAGGGGAUCCACCCGUUCCCAUCCCGAACACGGAAGUUAAGCCCUCCAGCGCCGAUGGUACUUGGGGAUGACCCCUGGGAG